UACGAAGGGGGCUAGCGUUGCUCGGAAUCACUGGGCGGAAAGCGCACGUAGGCGGACUCUUAAGUCGGUGGUGAAAUCCUGGAGCUCAACUCCAGAACUGCCUUCGAUACUGAGAGUCUCAGAGUCCGGGAGAGGUGAGUGGAACUCCGAGUGUAGAGGUGAAAUUCGUAGAUAUUCGGAAGAACACCAGUGGCGAAGGCGGCUCACUGGCCCGGUACUGACGCUGAGGUGCGAAAGCGUGGGGAGCAAACAGG
rnacentral:rRNA from 1 species